CCAAUAGCGUAUAUUAAAGUUGUUGCAGUUAAAAAGCUCGUAGUUGAAUUUCGGGGUCAGCAGGUUGGUCGUGCCAAUGGUAUGUACUGGUCUUGCUGAUCCCUUCCUCUUGAUGAGCCGUAAUGCCAUUAAUUUGGUGUUGCGGGAAAUCAGGACUGUUACUUUGAAAAAAUUAGAGUGUUUAAAGCAGGCAAGCGCUUGAAUAUAUUAGCAUGGAAUAAUGAAAUAGGACGUUCGAUCCUAUUUUGUUGGUUUCUAGGAUUGACGUAAUGAUUAAUAGGGAUAGUUGGGGGCAUUAGUAUUCAAUUGUCAGAGGUGAAAUUCUUGGAUUUAUUGAAGACUAACUACUGCGAAAGCAUUUGCCAAGGAUGUUUUCAUUAAUCAAGAACGAAAGUUAGGGGAUCGAAGACGAUCAGAUACCGUCGUAGUCUUAACCAUAAACUAUGCCGACUAGGGAUCGGAUGAUGUUAAUUUUUUAAUGACUCAUUCGGCGCCUUACG
rnacentral:rRNA from 1 species